AGCAGUUGCAAACAGCAUUUAUUUUGAAUUAAUUAAAAAACAUUUUAUAAUUAUUUAUCUAUAAUUAAAUGAGUUCUCAUUGUGGUUAGUGUAGAGCAGAAGGCAUGAGGUAUUUAUUGCUAAAGCAUCAACCAAAUCUGAACAAUAUCAAAUGACUAUAUUCAGUCUUGUAUACUUUUAAAUCACACAAUUUAUUCUCAUGACAUGAGAAAUGUCAUAUCUGUUAUGCAAGUCAAAGAUAACUAGAUAUGUUUCGAAAAUUAUUCCUAAACUAAAAUUCUCACCCAACUGUCAACUGAUGGAUUGAAUAGUGCAACCAUGACGAUAAUUAUUGUUAUGAACCACAGAGAAAGAGAAUUAAUAAUACUAUAUUUAUUGACUUUACUUUAUGUACUUUCCAGCACAGUGUAAAACAAAAUUGCUAAGGCAACAAAAGAAACACCCAAAACAAAACAAAAACAAAAUCAUGGCACAGAAUAGACCACACCAUUGAAACAGAUAGGCACAAGAGGUCACAGGGGUCAUAGUGACCUUAACGUGGGUCAUACACUUCAGGAUCACACAAACAACUAACCCACUAUAGGUAAUCCAACCACCAUCACCACUAUUUAACAUCAAUAAUCGGGAGAUAUUAAGCUGCUAGGAACAGGGUUUUGCUAUGACUGACCGCAUAGCAGCUGCUGGUAGAUGCAGCGUCAUCAAGAAGUCUAACCGGAAGAUACGGACCAUGUCAUGUGAUUAUUGAAGUGGACAAUGGCGUGAGAAAUUGAUACGAGAAAAUUACUUCACAAAUGUGUGGCUUAUUGAAGAAUAUGUGUUUACGUUGGACGGAGACCAGAUGAGAAUGAGCUUAUUGUAAAUGGUUGCACUUGGCACGUUUGCAUUUUUUUUAUAAUGGAACCAAAGAAAACAUAAAGAGACCAUGCUGAUCCCUUUAAUUUAUUUCAUAAUGUCAUUGUAAUUUAAUGUUAUAAGAUCAAACAGGCUUUGUAUGAUUGUGUUCAGUUGAAUUUCUCGUUCAUAAUUGUUUUGACAGUGUGCAUCCAAAAGGAAAUCCAAUAAGGUUGAGAAAUUUAGAAAAAACGGAUGGCAUUUGCCAAGCAGACAACUGGCGUCAAACUCUCCAUUCUCCCAUAUUUCACACGGAUCACUUUUGAUUCAUAAGCAAAAAGAUUCAAACGUCAGAUGAGAACACUGUGUUUCACCGGCAACAUUGUCUGCAUUCACCGUUGUAUUUGUCGCUUUUUAAAUAAAUAUUUAAAUAAUUACAACAAAAUGAAUUAAUGUCAUCGUCAAUCCUUUUUUAGGAGUUAUUCAGAUAAUAGAGACACCAACGGCAACUGCUAAAUCCCUCUAAACUCGCUAACAGGAAAGACACAGGUGAAUGGCACAUUAAACAUUAUUUUGGCAAACGCUUUGUUUUUACGCUCUCUCUCUCAAAUGUUUAGCAUUGGAACGACGGGCUUUGGAGCCAAUAAAAAUGCAGAACGUAACGACACAGACAUUCCUUAACAACAUAGCACACGCACAAAUACCAACAUUAUGUUCAUGUGAUCAGUUCUGCCAUUAGAAUCUCCUUUCUUUAAAACCAAAAUCACUUUUAAGCACUACUGCACACCUUUAUUUUAUCAGCUUUAGCUGAGAUUUGAGUGUUGUAAAGAGAAAGGGAGCAGAAAAGAGCAGAAGAACGCAAGAUUUUGAAAAGAAAAGCCCUAAAAAUGCCUCCAUCCCUCCGCCACUGAAAGCGUUGCCCUGACAGGUCCCACCAUACCAUCACCUUGCUAACACAAACAGGAGGAUGAGAUCAUCGGCGCAUGUCGUCACACGACAUACGCCGUGGUUACGCUGUUGCUAUGGACUGCCCUCCGUUGGACGAACGUAGCUCACGGACUGCAGACUUCCGAAGUAAAUGUUCUCCAAAACAAUGACAUAAAAAGAUAAACCAUCAGGAGAAGUUCCAGUCGAGUUAUGUGAAAAAAUGAAACCUGUCAUUAUGAUGACACGAAUACGGUCGUAUAUGUUCCACAAUGUUAAAAUCCAGACAUAUUCCUCCUGACAUCUUAUAUAUAUUUAUAUAUAUAUAUGUUUGAUGAUAACAUUUUUCCUUCUGUCAUAACAGGCUGUUUUAAAUGUUCCUUGCAGCAGCGUAAGGAAACAUUCAACAGUUAAUAACAUCACAAGAUAUACCGCCCACGGUGUUGUUCGGUGAAUACACGUGUUCUCGUAUUGAUCCUCUUAGCUUAGCGAUGGUGCCUUCUGCUCUUCUUCGUGAUUCGACGGCCACCGACGAUGAUCCCGAUCCUAAGAGUCAUUAGAACGCGUUCCGUGAAUGAAUGAAUGAAUGAAUCUUCUUUCAGGGUGGUCGGUCUGUCCGUAGCUCCUCCCCCAGGUUCGAGUGUGCUGUAUGUAUAAGAACCGGUACAUAUGGUCCAAAGCUUCAUCCCACCGGGUGAAGCGGUGUCCUGGCUGCCAUGGCGAUCGCUCCAGAGUCUCGCGGUGUUCAGGAAGUCCACCGCGGUGACGUCAGGGAAGGAGACACUGGGGGGGGGGGUGGCUGGAGAGGGGGAGGGGCCGGGCCGGGUGGGGGUAAGGCACGUGUUUGGUUUUUUCUCUUCUUCAUCUCCUCAGCACACCUAAAACGGCAAAGAAAUGCAAAUAAAAGAUCAGUGUUCCAUAAUCCUAAAUAGGAAAUUAAGAUAUUUUUCUUAAG
ensembl:lncRNA